CUGAAUUAAAACUCUCAGUUUUCCUUGACAAAAACCUUGGGCUCAUCUCCAAUUAGCUGAGUUCUUGUGCAAAACUUUACUUGUAUCCAUAACAUUCAAACAUCAUCGAAGCUUUCUGAUCUGCCGUGGGAAACGGUAAUAAAUGCUUGUAGCUUUCCUUAUCAUAGUGCUGAGGAAAGUAAGCAUCAGAGUAAUGCAAGUCCUUCUGAACAGACAUCGUCACACAAAAUUUGGCUCAGCUGCUCAGAUUGGAACAGCGAUGUUUGCUAUGAGAUCAAAGUGAUUGCUACUGAAGAAAUCCAAGGUAUUGGAUGUAUUGCUCGUCUAAGACACAAAAUUGGGAAAGCUGUGACUGAUGCUGGCCAAUAUGACAAACACCAAUUUGUGCAAGUCUCCGUUGCUUCUCAGAUACACCGUUCUCAUGAAGAAGUUGAUUGGCACAUGCUCUGUAGAUACGGGACAAUCUAGCAAAAUAUUCCCAGCAUUCCUCUGACUGCACAGAAACAGCUUUGCCUGGAGAGGUGGCCUACAGAGCAAGGUACAGCUCCACAGCUCUCCAGGAGCGGGAAGCCCCACAAGGUGCUGAGGAGCGUUGGCUAGACUGGGCCAGAGGCAGAGGAAAAGCUCAGAAACCAUCUUUGGAGCCAUGGUUGGAUGCUGAGAGCUGGUCAGAGAUGAUCCCAGGUGCUUGCAGCAGGGAGAACAGCCUGCGCUUGAUGAAACUCAGGCACUGAUCACGGCCAGGACCCAGCUGUACAACUUUCCUCUCUAGGUCCCUCUGAGUCCUACUUCCUGUAUUGCUUUUCCCCUGCAUAUACAUAUGUCCCUCUAGCUCUGAUGGGCCUUGGUUAGAAGAAAAGCCUUUGUGCCACUGUGUAAGUAACACCUCCUUUCUUAGUAAUGCACUGUGUCACCUUCCUCCAGUGUCCAAUCUGUGGACAUUAAAUGGUAUGAGUUCAUUCCAUGGCUCUGAGAGUCUCUAAUGGUUUAGCUGAAUUAAAAACUAGCUGAGCAGCGUAACUCAGAGGGUUACGAUCAGUGGUGCAAAGUCUAGUUGGAGCCAAUAACUAGCAGUAUAUACCAGAGGUCAAUGCUGGGCCCAGUCCAGUUCAACUUAUUUAUCAGUGACCUGGAUAAUAGGACAGAGUGCAUUCUCAGCAUGUUUGCUGAUGAUACAAAACUGGGAGGAGUGACUGAUAGGCCAGAGGGCUGUGCUGCCAUUCAGAGAGACUUCGAAAGAAAUAGGCAGAAAGAAACCUCCUGAAGUUCAAUAGAGGGAAGUGCAGAGUCCUUCACCUAAG
rnacentral:lncRNA from 1 species